rnacentral:rRNA from 1 species
UACGGAGGGUGCAAGCGUUGCUCGGAAUUAUUGGGCGUAAAGGGUAGGUAGGUGGUCUCAUUUGUCUGGGGUGAAAGCCUUGAGCUUAACUCAAGAAGUGCCCCAGAAACGGUGAGACUAGAGUCCUGGAGAGGGUCGUGGAAUUCCCGGUGUAGCGGCGAAAUGCGUAGAGAUUUGGAGGAACACCAGUGGCGAAGGCGACUUUCUGGUCUGUAACUGACACUGAGGCGCGAAAGCGUGGGGAGCAAACAGG